ACCUUCGGGCCUCUUGCCAUCAGAUGUGCCCAGAUGGGAUUAGCUUGUUGGUGAGGUAACGGCUCACCAAGGCGACGAUCCCUAGCUGGUCUGAGAGGAUGACCAGCCACACUGGAACUGAGACACGGUCCAGACUCCUACGGGAGGCAGCAGUGGGGAAUAUUGCACAAUGGGCGCAAGCCUGAUGCAGCCAUGCCGCGUGUAUGAAGAAGGCCUUCGGGUUGUAAAGUACUUUCAGCGGGGAGGAAGGUGUUGUGGUUAAUAACCGCAGCAAUUGACGUUACCCGCAGAAGAAGCACCGGCUAACUCCGUGCCAGCAGCCGCGGUAAUACGGAGGGUGCAAGCGUUAAUCGGAAUUACUGGGCGUAAAGCGCACGCAGGCGGUCUGUCAAGUCGGAUGUGAAAUCCCCGGGCUCAACCUGGGAACUGCAUUCGAAACUGGCAGGCUUGAGUCUUGUAGAGGGGGGUAGAAUUCCAGGUGUAGCGGUGAAAUGCGUAGAGAUCUGGAGGAAUACCGGUGGCGAAGGCGGCCCCCUGGACAAAGACUGACGCUCAGGUGCGAAAGCGUGGGGAGCAAACAGGAUUAGAUACCCUGGUAGUCCACGCCGUAAACGAUGUCUACUUGGAGGUUGUGCCCUUGAGGCGUGGCUUCCGGAGCUAACGCGUUAAGUAGACCGCCUGGGGAGUACGGCCGCAAGGUUAAAACUCAAAUGAAUUGACGGGGGCCCGCACAAGCGGUGGAGCAUGUGGUUUAAUUCGAUGCAACGCGAAGAACCUUACCUGGUCUUGACAUCCACGGAAGUUUUCAGAGAUGAGAAUGUGCCUUCGGGAACCGUGAGACAGGUGCUGCAUGGCUGUCGUCAGCUCGUGUUGUGAAAUGUUGGGUUAAGUCCCGCAACGAGCGCAACCC
rnacentral:rRNA from 3 species